rnacentral:rRNA from 1 species
GGGGAAUCUUCCGCAAUGGGCGCAAGCCUGACGGAGCAACGCCGCGUGAGGGAUGGAGGCCUUUGGGCUGUAAACCUCUUUUCUCAAGGAAGAAGAUCUGACGGUACUUGAGGAAUAAGCCACGGCUAAUUCCGUGCCAGCAGCCGCGGUAAUACGGGAGUGGCAAGCGUUAUCCGGAAUUAUUGGGCGUAAAGCGUCCGCAGGCGGCCGUUUAAGUCUGUUGUUAAAUCGUGGAGCUCAACUCCAUCACGGCAAUGGAAACUGUUCGGCUUGAGUAUGGUAGGGGCAGAGGGAAUUUCCGGUGUAGCGGUGAAAUGCGUAGAUAUCGGGAAGAACACCAGUGGCAAAAGCGCUCUGCUGGGCCAUUACUGACGCUCAUGGACGAAAGCCAGGGGAGCGAAAGGGAUUAGAUACCCCUGUAGUCCUGGCCGUAAACGAUGAACACUAGAUGUUGGGGGAAUCGACCCCCUCGGUGUCGUAGCUAACGCGUUAAGUGUUCCGCCUGGGGAGUACGCACGCAAGUGUGAAACUCAAAGGAAUUGACGGGGGCCCGCACAAGCGGUGGAGUAUGUGGUUUAAUUCGAUGCAACGCGAAGAACCUUACCAAGGCUUGACAUCCUGCGAAUCUCCAAGAAAUUGGAGAGUGCCUUUUGGAACGCAGUGACAGGUGGUGCAUGGCUGUCGUCAGCUCGUGUCGUGAGAUGUUGGGUUAAGUCCCGCAACGAGCGCAACCCACGUUUUUAGUUGCCAGCAUUCAGUUGGGCACUCUAGAAAGACUGCCGGUGACAAACCGGAGGAAGGUGUGGACGACGUCAAGCCAUCAUGCCCCUUACGCCUUGGGCUACACACGUACUACAAUGCUGCGGACAAAGAGUAGCGAUCUUGCGAAAGUUAGCUAAUCUCGUAAACCGCGGCUCAGUUCAGAUCGUAGGCUGCAACUCGCCUACGUGAAGGAGGAAUCGCUAGUAAUCGCAGGUCAGCAUACUGCGGUGAAUACGUUCCCGGGCCUUGUACACACCGCCCGU